UACGGAGGGUGCGAGCGUUAAUCGGAAUUACUGGGCGUAAAGCGCGCGUAGGCGGUUUGUUAAGUCAGCUGUGAAAGCCCCGGGCUCAACCUGGGAACUGCAGUUGAUACUGGCCGACUAGAGUACGAGAGAGGGAGGUAGAAUUCCAUGUGUAGCGGUGAAAUGCGUAGAUAUAUGGAGGAAUACCGGUGGCGAAGGCGGCCUCCUGGCUCGAUACUGACGCUGAGGUGCGAAAGCGUGGGGAUCAAACAGG
rnacentral:rRNA from 2 species